rnacentral:rRNA from 1 species
GACGAACGCUGGCGGCGUGCUUAACACUGCAAGUCGAACGGUGAAGCUCCAGCUUGCUGGAGUGGAUCAGUGGCGAACGGGUGAGUAACACGUGAGCAACCUGCCCCUGACUCUGGAAUAAGCGCUGGAAACGGCGUCUAAUACUGGAUACGAGAAGGGUCCGCAUGGGCACUUUCUGGAAAGUUUUUCGGUUGGGGAUGGGCUCGCGGCCUAUCAGCUUGUUGGUGAGGUAAUGGCUCACCAAGGCGACGACGGGUAGCCGGCCUGAGAGGGCGACCGGCCACACUGGGACUGAGACACGGCCCAGACUCCUACGGGAGGCAGCAGUGGGGAAUAUUGCACAAUGGGCGAAAGCCUGAUGCAGCGACGCCGCGUGAGGGAUGACGGCCUUCGGGUUGUAAACCUCUUUCAGCAGGGAAGAAGCGAAAGUGACGGUACCUGCAGAAGAAGCACCGGCUAACUACGUG